rnacentral:rRNA from 1 species
GUUUAUCAAAAACAUGGCUUUUAGAAUUUAAUUUAAAGUCUAACCUGCCCACUGAUAAUUUAAAUGGCCGCAGUAUAUUAACUGUGCAAAGGUAGCAUAAUCAUUAGUUUUUUAAUUGAAAGCUGGAAUGAAUGGUUGAACGAAAUAUUAACUGUUUCAUAUAUAGUGAUAAUAAAAUUUUAUUUUUUAGUGAAAAAGCUAAAAUAGAAUUAAUAGACGAGAAGACCCUAUAAAUCUUAUUAUUUUAUUGGGGUGAUAUUAAAACUUAAUUAACUUUUAAUUUAAAAUUUACAUAAAUUAAUGUGUUUUUGAUCCUUAUAUUAUGAUUAUAAAAAUAAGUUACUUUAGGGAUAACAGCGUAAUUUUUUUAGAGAGUUCAUAUUGAUAAAAAAGAUUGCGACCUCGAUGU